UGAAAAUGGUACACAGAAUUAUUCGUAUCGUGUUAUUGUUUUUUCCCACAAUAGUGAAAUGUACAAACCUCGAGACAAGAGACGAGAAAACUUAUCCGAAUGGAACGCUAGUUGGGACAUAUCAAUAUGUAGACGCACAGGGUAACCGCGUGCAUGUGAAGUACUUUGCUGAUAGAAAUAGUUACAGCAUCGAUUUAAGAGGAUACAAGAUCCCAGAAACCGCAAAAGAGACCCAAAGUUUAACUUUCUCAGGAGCUAAUCCAACCGCCGAGGAGACAGAUACAUUGGUGCCGUUAAAAUUAGACUUUCC